rnacentral:misc_RNA from 1 species
GUUGGAUUUUGAUCAGUAUACGAUUUGUUGUAGUGAAGAUCGUGAUUGAAAAUGGCUUCUGCCGGAACGUUACCGUCGCACCUUUCGGGGUUGAAAGGCGGAAAUGUGAACUUGGGAUUUUCGAAGCGGUUGGAAUCAGUAAAAGUCUUCGAUUUGAAGAGCGUUAGGUCUCACGGAAGAAAGGUCUUGGUUAUACGGAAUUCAAAUCCUGGCUCUGAUAUUGCGGAGCUUCAGCCUGCUUCGGAAGGGAGUUCUCUUCUGGUUCCUCGACAGAAGUACUGUGAAUCCAUAAACAAAACAAUCAGGAGGAAAACACGGACAGUGAUGGUUGGAAAUGUUGCCCUUGGUAGUGAGCAUCCCAUAAGGAUUCAAACAAUGACAACAACUGACACAAAAG